AUUGAACGCUGGCGGCAGGCCUAACACAUGCAAGUCGAGCGGAGCGGCGGACGGGUGAGUAAUGCCUAGGAAUCUGCCUGGUAGUGGGGGAUAACGUCCGGAAACGGGCGCUAAUACCGCAUACUCUCAGAUGAGCCUAGGUCGGAUUAGCUAGUUGGUGGGGUAAAGGCCUACCAAGGCGACGAUCCGUAACUGGUCUGAGAGGAUGAUCAGUCACACUGGAACUGCGACACGUCCCAGCCUCCUACGGGAGGCAGGAGGGGGGAAUAUUGCACAAUGGGCGAAAGCCUGCUCCAGCCAUGCCGCGUGUGUGAAUAAGGUCUACGGAUUGUAAAGGUCGUUAAGUUGGGAGGCGUUAUCAACAGAAUAAGCACCGGCUAACUUCGUGCCAGCAGCCGCGGUAAUAC
rnacentral:rRNA from 1 species